AAUGGGCAAGAAAAGAAGACACCAUUAACGUUACGACUUUAUGUUUUAAAAGAGAUUAUACGACCAGGAGAAGAUCUGACAUCACGGAGUUCUUCAAGGAUAACACACCUUUUCUGCCAAAUGAGGUCAUAAUUGCUGCUGUACUUUGCAUCCCAAGCACCCCCUGCAUUCUUAUCAUGGAUUGCUGUCAUACAAGUUACCAUUUCCACCCC